rnacentral:lncRNA from 1 species
GAAAUCGAGAAAAAAGAAGGAUUAACCUGGUCGGUGCACCGACCCGGAGUCAUAUUCGGGUUUUCGCCUUACAGUUUAAUGAACCUCGUUGGCAGUCUUUGCGUUUACGCCGCCAUUUGCAAACACGAAGGCAAACCGUUACACUUUCCUGGGAGCAAAGCCGCUUGGGACUGUUACUUUGAAGCUUCGGAUGCGGAUUUGAUUGCGGAGCAACAUAUAUGGGCGGCGGUGGAUCCGUACGCCAAAAACGAAGCCUUUAAUGUGACUAAUGGGGAUGUUUUCAAGUGGAAGCAUUUGUGGAGCGUUUUGGCAGAGCAAUUUGGGAUAGAAGAAUUUGGGUUCGUGGAAGGGGAGAACCGGGGGAUGGAGGAGAUGAUGAAAGAGAAGGAAGGAGUUUGGGAAGAAAUAGUGAAGGAGAACCAGUUGCAGAAGACGAGUUUGCAGGUGGUGGGAAAUUGGUGGUUUACGGAUACGAUAUUUUCGGCUCCGUUGCAGAUGCCGCUGCUCAGUAUGAAUAAGAGCAAGGAGCAUGGGUUUUUGGGGUUUAGGAAUUCCCGGAAUUCAUUUGUUACUUGGAUUGAUAAGAUGAAGGCUUACAAGAUUGUGCCUUGAUCUCAUUCAAUCUCUUGUUUCAAAUUGUUUCCUUGGUUUUUCAGAUGAAGAUGAAAUUUCUGUUGUUGUACUUCUAAAAUAAGUUCGUAGGGUAAGUUAUUAAUUGGCAUGCUACCGUAAGAUGUCAGAAACAAUUGCUUACCUUCAAAGAGAAGCUUCUGUUGUACUUGUGAAAAUGCUGUGUGGUUUUCUUUUCCCUUUAUUUGUUUAUGAUGCAUUGUCUAUUCUAUCUUGUAGAAUCUUGAAUUAUACUAUUUAUACUUGUUGAUUAGACAAAGUCUUGGCAAAUUUAUUGCAUAUCAGUUCAAUAUCAUGGUUAAUAGUUUCUGCCUGUGGGAAUGCUGUUAUAUGAUUAGCUUCCGUUAAGUGAUUAUACAUUUUAUAAUCAGCCUUGUUAUUUACUUGGUUUUAGCUUAUAGUUUUGAAUUACUCUUUCAGCUUUAGUCUUAGAUUUUUGGAAGCUUACUUUGUUUGAUUAGUUGCCUUCACUUUAUCUUUGUGGUGGUGCUUGAGAUAUGACCAUGGGGGAUGAUGACUACCAGUUAUGAAAAGGUUUGCAAGUGGUCCAUACGGUAGACAUUCCCUAGGCUGAUGAAGGGGUAAAUUCAUAUUGGCUUUAUAACAGCACAAAUGAUUCUGAGCUGAUACCCACCUUAAAGAACUUGCAGAGUUAACAGGCACGGAACUAUAUGGUGGUAACUUGUUCACCCAUUUGAGUUACUGUAUACUGAUAAUCUGUUCACCUACCUGGGUGCCUUUUCUUAUUUAAGUUUAUUUAAGGACCCUCUCUAACUUGACAACAGAGGAGAGGCUGAUCCAUCCAUUUGUUUCCCAAAUGCUGUGUUGAUUACUUUGUUAUUAUCUGGUGAACCUUGACAGCUACAUUUCGCAAUCAUGUAAUUAAUUUAGCUGCAAAUGAGUUAAAAGUAGAUAAAAGUAUCCUCGAAACCUUGAUACUAGAAUGUAGGUAGUAUUUUGUCCUUUUUAUUAAAAAAUUUGAAUAAAUCAAAGAAUAAAUUAGUUCUUUUGUUAACAACUGUCUGGUCAUUUCAUUAGAUCAAUUUUUAAUGGUGGAAAUUGAGAAAAUUGUUAACAAAAAAUAUUAGUUUGUUAUUUGAUCUAACGUAUAAGGAUUAAUUAUCAAAAUUUAGGGCAAAAUGUAAUAUAAUUUCUAGUACAAGAGUUUCUAUGGUUCUUGUACAAGUAAAAGUAUAAUGGAAGCUCUUGUAGGAGAAGUUGAAUUACAUUAAAAAAAUAGAUAGAUUAAUUCUUGUACAUUAAAGCAAACGGAUUCUUACAUUAAAAAUUUCAAUUAUUUCUAUUGUUAAAAAUUAGUUUAUGUACGCUUUGUGUAACAAUUUAUUAUUUUGUUAGUCAUGCUAAUUUUUACCAUAAGAAAUGAUUAACUUUUUUUUUUAUCUAAUGUAAAAGAAUUAAUUUAUUUAAUUUUAAAUUAUAAAGAACAAAAUAUAAUUUAUCAUUUGUAUAAUAAUUUUAUGUUGUAACUGAUGUUUGAUGAAUUCAACUUAAGAUUCUUUCCCUCAACUCUCAGGUUACUUAUAUAAAAUAGAAUUUUAAUCAAGAUUUAAAAUAAAAGUUUUUGAACGAAAAUUUAAUGUAAAUAAAUUUCAAAGUAACUACGUAAAAUGGGUCCAACCAAGACUUAAUGUUAGGUAAGAAUUUAAUUAAGUCAUUGAACAAUACAUCAGCUAUUACGUAUUGGUUUGGGAAAAUAAUGCGAAAGUCCUUUACCCUGUCAUUCACGAUUCAGGGUGAGUUUAGAUGGGCGGUGCGUUUAUUUGUGGUUAGUGUAAAAACAGCGGUGGCGGUGAGAUUAGAUAUUGUAGCGAUACUGUAACGUGAGACAAAAAACAAGCUAAACGCACCGCACCGCACCACAUCCAAUCGUCCAUCCAAACCCACCAUGAGGAAUAACAAGUACAAAAAAAUUUGGUGGAUGCUACAUCUUCUCCACAAUAACAAGUAAAAGGAACAGGGAGAAGUCUAAAAUUUUUGAAGGAUGGAAAUUAAAUUCUAUUUUUGUGAUUUUUAAAAUAUUAAAUUAAAUAUUUAUUAUUUUUAGGGAGCUAAAAUAUAAUUUUACUUUUUAUUAAUUUUAAAAUUUUAAAAAAAUUAAAAUAUUAAAUAAAAAAAAUUCUAUUUUAAGAAGAUUAGGCCGUAACCACAAAUUGUUUUUGCCUAUACCAAUGAUAUAAAAUGUAGGAUUGAAUUGAGAGAAAAUGUAAAUACUAAAAAAUUAAGUCAAUUUUUCUCAAAUAAUAAAAUUUUAAAAAGUUAAAUUACUAAAUCGAUAAAAUUAAAAUGAUAUAAAACUAAUACCAAUGUCACAUAUUCCUUUUGAUUUUUAUAUAUUUUAAUAUUUUAGUCACAUCUUAACCUAUAACAAAAGCGAACACUAGUCUUGAGGCUUAGGCUCCCUUUGGAUGCAACUGCAUCUCAGUGUGUUGGCUGUUUUAGGCUAAAAAAAAAUUACAACUGAAACGUUAGUAAACGCAAGGCUGUUUGGAAAGCAUUCUUCAGUGCGUUGAGAAUGCAUUUCACCUCUUAAUUUCAGACUGGAGCCUUUUGUUCCAGUGAAAAUUGGGUCACUUCAAUUGCUUUUUUUUUUCCUCUUUUACCCAUAUAUUCUUCCGUUACAUUCUUCUUCAGGCUUUUCUGAUGUUUGGUUACCCUUCUUCUCCCCUUUCCCCUUCCCCUUGGGUUGCAAAUCAGUGUUCUUGGAUUUUCUGUGUUUCUCUUUUUUUCUAAUUGAAAUUUUCAUUUUUUUCCUUAUUUGGUUUUGCAUUUUUUUUUAAAAUUCUGUGUUCUUGGAUUGACAAGAGCAAAAGUUCUUGAUCGGAAGUUCAAUAAUAAAACUGUCUUGCUUCAUUUCCAUUAUUUAUUGCUUGGUUAACAUUCUGUAAGGCCUUUGUAAUUAUGCUUCAAUAUCGUGUUUCAGUUUUGUUUUUUGUUGAUUAUUUUCUAAUCUUGAGUUUCCCCUGUUCUGCAUCAGAUAUGCAUGUACUAUGAGUCCAUAAUCCAUAUUAUUUCAGUGAUAACAUGGGGGGUGUACUGAGGACAUUGUUAUUUGAUCCCUCUUUUUUCUUUUUCUCUUAUUUAAGGGACUUACAUUUGUUAUGCUCAGGUGUAAACCUUGAUGGAAUCUGUUUUCACUUUUCUUUCUUAGAGAGUUUUUACAUAGCUUUAUGGCUCUGUAAUGAUGGUCAUUGGAGUAUAUCCGUCCUGUGGAUUUUUGAUCUAUCAUUCUCGUCUCCCAAAAAUAUUUUAAGUUUUACAUUUUUCCUUUUAUUUUCACUGGGCUUUGGGAGAGGUUGUUAAAACUUUUGCAAAACCAGUGAACUUUUGUGGUAUCUACCAGAUUGGUUCAAUCCCAUUUGCUUAUUUUCUUGGCAUAUGGUGGAAGUCGUGACUCGUGAAAAGCAUUAAAAAAUAGCUCGUUUUAGUAUGUAUAACCUAAGUUGUCGGAUUUUGGAUCAGUUAAUAUCCAGAAUCAAAGAAUCACUGCAAACGUGAUAUAUUGUUCUUAUGGUUCCUUGCUAUUCUGUAGAAUCGGUGAGUUUAUUUGCUAUUCUGUAGAAUCGGAGUUGUUCUUAUGAUCAAUGUUGCAAACUUUUGCUUCUAAAGAUGCUUGCAGUGGGAAUUUUUAUUGUUAGACUCCUGUGACUUCUUUUAUGACUCUUCAAUAGUCUGAUCAAUAAAGUCUUUGUUUUGAAUGGUUUUCUUUUGUUGCAAAGGAUGGUGCGCAGGAUGAAUUCAGUUUUAUGCUGUAUUUUAAAAUGCUAUGCUGUCUGUAUGCUGAUCUGCAUUUUAUUCUCUUGUGUUCUUUGUCUGGUGAUGUUCAAAUUGUUAGGGAGCUUGUUACAAAUUUGUUAACGGUUUUGUUUAUUAAUGUUUUCUCUGUUCAUUGUCUUGGCUUUUCUAAUCUAUUCAUCCUUAUUCUGCAGCAUAUUGAAGACUUGACUCAGGAAAAGUUUUCACUGCAACGAGCUCUUGAGGCCUCACGUACAUUAGCAGAAUCUUUGGCUGCUGAAAAUUCAUCUUUGACUGAGUUAUAACCAACAGGUUUGUUUCCAAAUAUUAGAUUAGCAGCAUUACCGGCUGUCAUGGUCAUGAUAUGUUUUUUUUAUCAGUUCAUCGUGCUUCUCCAUUGCAGCACUUUCUGUCAUUUCAUUAUCCUAAUUUGUAUUCUCAAUCCUUCUUAAAAAUCUCUUAAUUAUCUUACAUUUACUUUUCUCCCCAGAUAAGCAUUGUCAACCGGCUAAAAUCUGACAUGGAGAGCUUAGAAGAAGAAAUCAAGGCCCAACUGGUUAGUAUUUACUAUAUUUAGGUACUGGUAGUCACUUCAAAUUGUUAGAAAUAAUUGAAUCUCAUAUAACUACAUACCACUUUAUGUCAUAUGGUUAAUGCAAUGGUGUUUGUAUGGCCUGUGUCAUGUGUGCACAUAUGCACAUUGGUUUAGACUUGUUUGUGCUUAGAUAAAGUUCUAUCUAAAAAUUGAGAUACCUACUGCUGUCUAUUGCAUCUCUGGUGGUACCCAUUAACCAAAAAAUGCAGUACAAGGAACCCUCUUGAGGUUGUCCAUGUCUAUGCCCUUUGAUCUACACUUGAAGGGGCCUUAAGUAGUGCUAUCCCAAAGUUAUUAAAUAUUGGGUUUGUUUCGGUUUUAUAUUCAGGUUGGGCCUCUCAACCUAUUGCCUAUUGGUUUUAGGUUAGAUGCUUAAUAACUUUUUAUCUAUAAAAAUGAUCCUAAGGCUGGAGCUUGUCCAUUUUUCCUGGAUUCAAUCAAUAAGUCUUUGUUUUGAAUGGUUUUUUUUUUGUUGCAAAGGAUGGUGCACAGGAUGUUGUUGAACUUUGGCCUGCAAUGCAAUAGGAAACCAGCAGCAAACCAGCGUGCAGACCAGCAUCCAAGCUGAACCAGAUAAGCAGCAGCAUUUUGUUUAUUUUGUUUAUUUGUAACUUGAUUUAGUUGCAAUGUAAUUUAUACUUAAAGUUAGUAGGAGUAGUUGUUGAUUUAUGUUUGAUGUUAUAGCUGGUAUGUCAGCUACAUUUUGUUUGUAAUUCUAUCUAGGCUUUAGUCAUGUAUCUUAUACUUGACUCGUUCAAGCUUUUGAUGGUUUUUGAACCAUGAACAAUAAGAAAUGAAUCAGAUAUGUUGAUGAAGAAUUGAACAUGUGGUUUCUAUUGGAUUUCUUCUGAAAUUAAGAAAUGAAUCAUUUUUCAUUCAUCAUUGCAUUGCUUCAUCUUUAGCUCAAAUGUGAAUCAUUUUGCAUUUUCUCUUCUGAUGAAUAUUCCAAUCUAUUGGACAAAUACACUAGUGUGAUGUUGGAAACAUGGAUCUAGAUUUGAAUUGUAUGCCUUGGGUUUCAAUAUAAAUGAAGCAGAAAUUAUAUAUUUAAAUUUGAUUUAUUAUAUAAAUAGUAAGAAUAAAAUGAAAAGUAUAAAAAUAUUUUGAAAAUAUGAAUGUUACAUUUUUAAAAAUAUUUUAUCCAAUUUCUGUUUAAAUAAUGUUUUGAUUGAUUGUAGGCUAAACAGGGAUUUAACAAUGCUAAUGUUAUAAAGUCAUAUUUUGACGUCUUUAAUCUUAUAUUAUAACUCCAAUGUUAAACUAAAUCAAACUUAAAGUUUAACUUAAUUUUUAUCACCCCCAAUGUCUUAUAAUAUUGUAUUAGUAAAACAUUUUAAAGGAUUUGGUAUGUAGGCAAAAUUUCAUACAAACAUAGAUAACGAAAUUAGUUCAAUUGAGUAACACUGUUAAACCUUCUUGUUAAUUUGAGCUAUUCAGUAACUUAUGUGCUAGGAAUUAGUAAAAAUCAGCAGUAGCAUAUUUAUGUAAUUGUAAUAAUUCAUUUUUAAUUAUUUAUUAUUGAAAAUAAUUAUAAUUGUAAUAAUUUUUAAUCAUUUAUUAAUUUUAUAAUUGUUAAAUAAUUUUAAAAAUUUCUAUUAUAUAUCAUUUUUAAUCUAAUAUCCUUAAAAGUCAUUUUCUAUUUUCACCUCACCUCUACAGCUGCGUUUGAAUCCAAACGCACACUCCACCGCUAUUUCUAAUCUCACUGCUACAGUACCCAAUCUCACCGCUACAGUAACUAAUCUCACCGCCACCGCUGUUUUUAACCUCACCGGAGCUAAACACCCCCCAUCUAAACUAAGCCUUGGUUUAUGGCUUUAACUACAUUGCCUCUACUGUAACCCAAACCAUACUGUUGGACAAGCUUUAAAUCUACUUUUAAAAUUUUAUUCAGCAAACAUUCAUGACAUGGAAAUUUACUGUAUUUGAUGAAGCUUAAAUUUUCAUUUUUGCACAAUUAUGACAUGUUUAAGAUAAGCAAAGAGUUGUGACCAACUUAAAAGGUUUUACAACUUCAAUAUUUAAAGCUAUUAAAUUUAUGUUUGUUUCAUGUCUUAAUAGAGAAAAUGUUGAAUUAUUUUACUCAUGAAUUUUGUGGUUCUUCUAACAAUGGAUGGAGCUUGAAAUACUGUUAAGUUUGAAAACUCAAGGUUUGUGCAAAAUUAACGUGAGUAAAGAGAUCAGCAUCUAAACUUAUUCUCCCAAAUGCUUAUCCAACUACACAAAGGGCUGCCUAGAGACUGUUCAUUCAUCCAUCAUCUUACCGUUCGUGUUAGCUUGUUGAUUUGCGGUGUUGAUGGUGUUCUAACACAAAGGUUUUGUUUGAUAGAGUGAAAAGAAGAUUAAAAAGGGUUAGAAAAAUAGUAAGUCUUUCACGCUAAUUCUUGGUGGAAAUUUUGCUCAUCCAGAGUGGGUGUUGGCUGCGCUCCUAUUUGCAUUUCAAUCCCAAAAAGAAGAGUUUCCAUAUGUGAAUCCAAACAUCGUCACGGCUCUCCUCAUCCCUUUUGUCGUUUUCAUGAAUUGCUUGCUAUAAAUUGGCAACAAGGAGUAUUAAUUAAAACCAAGAACAAAAUCCUUUCCAAUCCAAUAUUUCAAAUCCCUUUAAUCUUCUUGAUCAAUAAAACCACCCCACCCAGAUUGUUGGUUAGCUAUCCCAUCAAAUCAUCUAUCAUCAAUUUCCUAACGUUUCCUUUUUGGUUUAUUGCCGUCUCCCACAAAUCUAAUCUAAGUUGUUUUAAAGAAAGAAAAUGAGCUGGUGGUGGGCUGGUGCUAUCGGAGCUGCUAAGGCAACUCUCCUUUUUCAUUGGCUUGCUGGAUUUCUGUUUGCCCUUCACGAAAUUGAUUCUUUUUCUUUGUUUUAAUUUUUGCAGAAGAAAUUUGAGGAAGAUGAAGCACCGAAAAGCCUCAAGAGCGUUGGGCUGAUCAUUGGAGUCACCGGCAUAGUUGGCAAUAGCUUGGCUGAAAUCCUCCCUUUAUCCGACACUCCCGGCGGCCCAUGGAAAGUAUACGGGGUGGCUCGUCGGCCCAGACCCAACUGGAACGCCAACCAUCCAAUCCAGUACAUUCAAUGCGAUGUAUCCGACCCGAAUGAUACCGAAUCAAAGCUCUCUCAACUUACCGACGUCACUCAUAUCUUCUACGUCAGCUGGACCAACCGAACAUCCGAAGCAGAGAAUUGUGAGAUCAACGGUUCCAUGCUUCGCAAUGUUUUGCGUUCCGUGAUCCCAAACGCACCCAAUCUCCGCCACAUCUGUCUACAAACAGGAGUCAAACAUUAUCUUGGACCGUUCGAGUUGUUGGGUAAAAUCCAACUGCAUGAUUCGCCUUUCACUGAAGAUUUACCGCGGUUGAAUGCUCCCAAUUUUUACUACCAUCAAGAAGACAUCCUCUUUGAAGAAAUCGAGAAAAAAGAAGGAUUAACGUGGUCGGUGCACCGACCCGCAGUCAUAUUCGGGUUUUCGCCUUACAGUUUAAUGAACCUCAUUGGCAGUCUUUGCGUUUACGCCGCCAUUUGCAAACACGAAGGCAAACCGUUACACUUUCCUGGGAGCAAAGCCACUUGGAACUGUUACUUUGAAGCUUCGGAUGCGGAUUUGAUUGCGGAGCAACAUAUAUGGGCGGCGGUGGAUCCGUACGCCGAAAAUGAAG